rnacentral:rRNA from 1 species
GAUGAACGCUGGCGGCGUGCCUAAUACAUGCAAGUCGAGCGGACAGACGAGGAGCUUGCUCCUCUGACGGUAGCGGCGGACGGGGGAGUAACACGUGGAUCACCUACCUAUAAGACUGGGAUAACUUCGGGAAACCGGAGCUAAUACCGGAUAAUAUAUUGAACCGCAUGGUUCAAUAGUGAAAGACGGUUUUGCUGUCACUUAUAGAUGGAUCCGCGCCGCAUUAGCUAGUUGGUAAGGUAACGGCUUACCAAGGCAACGAUGCGUAGCCGACCUGAGAGGGUGAUCGGCCACACUGGAACUGAGACACGGUCCAGACCCCUACGGGAGGCAGCAGUAGGGAAUCUUCCGCAAUGGGCGAAAGCCUGACGGAGCAACGCCGCGUGAGUGAUGAAGGUCUCCGGAUCGUAAAACUCUGUUAUUAGGGAAGAACAAAUGUGUAAGUAACUAUGCACGUCUUGACGGUACCUAAUCAGAAAGCCACGGCUAACUACGUG